rnacentral:lncRNA from 1 species
GUUGGGGGUUAAGGGGUGGAAUAACCCUUUAACCCCCAUAUUAUCCUCAAACAUCCUAAAAAAUGAAUGGGAUUAGCUAACCCCACCUCAAAUAAAUUAUUUCGGAUUAGCUAACCCCACCUAACCCCACCAAACUCCAACCAAACACUAUUUUCUAUUCAUAAUAACCCACUAUCUUUCUUAUCACACCUACUCCAACCAAUCGUUAUCCUUCUUUAUCAAUCAUUAUCUUCUUAUCUCACCUACUCUAACCAAACACUAUUUUUUAUUAUUCUAGACUAACUCCAACCCCCAACCAAACACAAAAAAACUUUAACUCCACUUUAACUCCGAACUUAACUCUAUUCCUGGAAUAGCUACUUUUUUUCUUAACCCCGAACCAAACGGAGGCUUAGAGUAAAUGAUAAUAAUUUUUAAGCUCUCCUAUGUUUACCU